rnacentral:lncRNA from 1 species
UCAUAUCCCUUAUGAGUUUAAUAUAUUAGCAAAAAAAUUUCAAAUUAUAGAAUAGAUGUAAGGUCAACUUACCAAGUCCUAACAAAAUACCUAAUCCUUUUUUUUUUUUUUUUUAGCACAAGUGCUACAAAAGUUAUAGGUGCCACUCAGACUUAAAUUUUAGGAAGUAUUGAUUAUGGUUCCAAUAUAGCAUAAUAACUCCUAGUAAGAGAAUAUAGCUUAGGACUAAAAGC